CCGGUCAGUUGCCGCUACAAACGUGCAGAAUUAGCAGGCUUUUGAGAGGGCCAGGACCAUACGUCGCGUUCUGCGCCUAGGCCGCCUAGAAUCACAACUGUUUUCUCUCUCGUUCAUCAUCCCUCGACACGCGAAGAAAACAAAAGGAAUGCCUCUAAAAGGGUUGAGCGCCCUUAAGGGCAACACACAAACUAUCCUCAUCUCUCCUGUGCGCGACAAAUACUCUAUUCUGAUGGAGGAUGAUAAAAUACGCGCCGGUGCGAGUAGCAUGCAGGGGUGGCGAAGUACGAUGGAGGACGCUCACGCUGUCUACCUCUCACUUCCCAACAUGCCAGGAAACAUUCGCGACGAGGACUGCGCGAUCGCCGCGGUCUUCGAUGGCCACUGUGGUAGCAAGUUUGCGCAGUCGUGCGCCGCAAACAUCCGCGACUGGCUGACGUCAACCGAUGCGUUCAAGAAGGGGAACUUCGAGAAGGCGCUGAAGGACGCCUACUGCACAGGCGACGUUGCUCUUCACAAAGCCAUGCCAAACGAACUGAGCGGCUGCACGGGCAACUGUGUUUUGAUAAUCCAAAAUCAUUUGUACUGCGCCAACACCGGCGAUUCACGGGCGGUGCUGUGCCGAAAUGGCGAGGCCAUAGCGCUCAGCGAGGACCACAAGCCCACCAACCCUGCCGAGCGAGAGCGCAUCAUGAAGGCAGGAGGGUUUGUGCAGGCUGGACGAGUUAACGGUAUCCUGUCUCUCAGCCGGGCCUUCGGCGACUAUGCGUUCAAAGACAUGAGUCUCAAGCCAGAGCAGAUGGCCAUCACGGUGACCCCAGACGUGUUCCACACCGAGCUGACUCCGCACGAUGAGUUUGUCAUUGUCGCGUGCGAUGGCAUCUGGGACAUGAUGACAAAUGAAAAGGCGGUCGAGUUUGUGCGCAACGAAGUUGCCGACCAUGGCGACAUAUCUUUAGCUUGUGAGCGGCUCAUGAACGCGUGUCUCGCGUCCACACCCACCUCCUACGGCACCGAUAACAUGACUAUAAUCAUUCUCCAGUUCAAGAGCUUGUUCUUGAAGAAAGUGGAGAGUAAGUUCUCUGCGGAGUGAUCUGCAAGAGCACGCACGUACACACCCUAUGGCGGACACAUGCAAGAGAGAAACCAAAGCAAAGGGGAUGCCAAUUGAUAGAGCUGGUACCGCUCAUUAUGCCAUAGUUCAGCACCAUCGAAAGUGCGCGGUGGAGACUGCGCUGUUCUCCCUUUCUUUCUCUCGUUCCCCCUCUCUUGCUCACCUUGUUGCGGUCGUGGUUUUUUCUUUGUUUCGGCAGCGUUUGUUGCUGCACCACACGCUUCUCAUGACGUUCUUGCUUGUUUUCUAUCGAGGAUAC
rnacentral:misc_RNA from 1 species